ACCUCGGAACGGCGUGUCCAAACUGACCGAGCCAGAGAGUGUUACCAAAGCCCCCGUAUCAGUUAAAAGAAACAGACACUCCCUUGUGGAAACUCCAGGCUACUCUUUUAUCUUACUGACACACAACAAGGGCUUACACAAUAACGUUUGAGGAUGUGGCGCAACCUGACAGAGGACUUGAAAGUGGGAAGGAAAAUGGUAGGAGAAAUGUUGCUCUGGGACACACCACAAACUCUCGGUUUAUAACUGGCGUGAAACAGCAGACAUCAUGGACGAAGUGUGUGGUUUAAUUAGGGGAUUUGCUGGUUUUUCACUCAAUGUCUCCCCUGGUGAAAGGUUCUGUAGACCUGAAAAACUUGUGGGCUCUUUAUUCUGCUCGAACCUGACGGACUUAUGAACUAGUUAUGGAUCCAGUGCUCUCCAAAUGGAUUGGACCAACACUCAUCAUCCUGACUUAUUUGUGCAAUAUAUCCGCUGUCUUAAUAUUCAGAGACUCUAGCAUGCUUCCUAUCUUGCUCACAUAAUAACAAAUUCUGCAUAAGACUUCUAAAUCUUCACUGAAGAGGAUACUAACUUGGGUCUGAGAAACACUGAUAGAAGAGACCGAAGGGAAGGGCUUUCCAGAACUGCAUCUAAGCUUCUAUUUGAAUUUUCCACAAUUAUAUUCCCAUUUCCAUUACAAAGGACUAGGGUUCAACCAAUCUACCCAGUGGAGAGCAGAAAAGCAGGUCCAAACAGGAGGGAUUUAAGAACGACUUUGAUAUUGCCCUGCAUUGUUCUUUUCAUCUGGAGACUUCACAUCUGGAUCAGUUCCUCUGUUUGAGAACUCAAGAUUUCUAUCAAAAAUUCAACCCUGCUUGAUGACACUUCUCCAACUAACCUCCCACUUUUACUGUUUGUUCUAGCCACAUGGGUCAUGUUUUGAUCUAAAUACAGGAACUUGCUUUUUUAGAGCUCUAGAAAUAAUAGGCUUAUGUUCAAAUAUUCCACAAGCUGAAGGCCAUUUUUUGUGAACUGCAGAGCAGGUGUCCAAAGUCUCUUCUGCGAGUUCUUUGUAAGCAGGAUAGGACCAAUUAGCAGAUUUUUUUAAAAAUGGAUUUUUUUUAAAAAGAGUUAAAGCACCUUUAGAAACAGGAAUUGUAUCUGCAUUUGAGUUCAUCAUGAUUUAUUGCACAGACAUUUAUGACACAUGCAUAUAUGUGAUACAUAUACAUAUAUAUAUAAAUUUGAAUAGGCAUUUAUAAUACGAAGGAGAAGAUCCUAGCUCCCACCACCACCAAACCUGUGCAAAUGGGUUAUUACAUUGAUAAUGUCUCCUAGUGGAGCCUUUAUAAAGAUAUCAGAUUUCCAAUCACUUCCAUCAGAAGAUUGGGAGAAAAGGGAACAGGGUUUUGUCGCUGCAAAUUGCCUCUAUAUUGCUACCUCAUUUCCAAGUCAAAUAUGCACUUUCCUUCUAAGAUAUUUUAAUAAUUAGAGCUUGUUCUUUUGUAUUGUUUCCUGCCCAGAUCACUAAUACUAAAUAGUUUCCUUCUUACUAGCAAAGGGGGAAAAAACAUUAAUGGCCUCUGUUGGAAAACGGGGAAAAAAAGUGAUAGUGGGGAGUCUCCUUAAAAAUGUAGAAGACUUUCCUAACAAGAAAGCUGAUUAUAGAAAUGUCUCCAACUGGAGUUUUCAAAUUAUAGCAGGGGAAUUUUUGCCAAGCACACCACACCUCUCCCCCCCUGUUGGUUUUGCAGAACA